AUAAAUGCAAUGAACGGGAUAAGUAAAUUGGCUGCGCUAUUAUCAGAGAGCCGGGGGGUGGUGUGACCCGGUAGGCGUGCUUAUUGAAAUACACCUGUGAGCAGCAGGUUGAACGGAUACCAAGUAGACUGCGCCGGAUGCCACCGUUAUCAGAGGCUAGGGUAUCGGAAUGUCCUGUACCUGAAAAAAGUGGCUUGCUAUUUUAAGCAAGCAGGGUGGUACCGCGAGUAAAGUCUCGUCCCUGUU
rnacentral:ncRNA from 1 species